rnacentral:lncRNA from 1 species
AUAUCAUGCUAAGAAUCCUAAGUCUUUUUCAAAAGAAAUCAGUGGGCUCAAGUAUUUGGGGGAAAUCAACAACAAAAAGAAAACCACGUAUAAAGGACUCAACAACACAUGCAAUGACUCGACACACUAAGCUAUGCAAUAAAAAAUCAACAAUAACAUAAAUCUAAACUAACGAAAUAAAUAAAACAAAACAUCAAAAGUAAAGAAAAAUGGUAAACUUUUCUCAUACACCUAAAUC